rnacentral:lncRNA from 1 species
CCAUCUUCUUCACCCAUCUUCUUUUCCGACAUUGCCAUCUUCUUCUCCGACGUUGCCAAGCGACCGCCGCCGCCUCCGUCGCGAGUUUAGAUCUUCUCCAAAGUCGCCGCCAAUUCGAGGUCCGGCGAGCUCCACCACUUCUCCGACGAAUAGCAAAGCCCGCCGCAAAAUCCUCUCAAAAUCGUUCUGUCCCGCUGCAGCCGCCGCUGAGUGAGAGUUGAGUGGGUGAGGCGUGUCUAUGUGAGCUGUGAGCUGAGAAAUUAAAAUCGAAUCCUGUGUUGCAGUAAUUUUUUUUUUCAAUUGGGGAAGAGGGCUAAAUUGAAUGUCUUAGGGACUGAAUUGAAAAAUUUGAAAAUUUCAUUUCAGUCAUGAAAUUCUAGAGGUUGGACAUAUUUAUCUGGAGGGCUUUUUUGUCUUUUCGCGAGCGGUCAACGGACAAAAAUAAAAAAGGGUCGAUUGUGCUUGAUUGAACACUUGUUAGGGGGGUUUUGAUGACUUAUUUUUUCCCAGGGGGUUUUUUGGCCUUUAGGAAUUACACAGGGGGGUUUUUGCAUUUAACUCUUCAACAAACACUAGCCAAAUAUUUUCGUUUGUUUGGUUUUUGGACCUGUUUGCUUGUUCUUCGUCUGCUAUUUGAAGAAACCGUUUGCUAUUCUUGAGACCUUUGUGUUUGCGGUUCAACUUCUACGGAUUGCAAUUUCUAUUUCACCCAAAUGGUUCUAACACAUUUGAGUCUCGCUAAGCAACGUUCCUAUAAAUAAAAUUUUCCACCCUGAACUACAUAUGAUUUUUUCGAUUUAUUUUUAUUCUCAUCAAAACCAAUUUAUUUCUCUGGCAGUGAACAAAGAUGAUGGUUUCGGAUCAUCAAAAUCACGUAUAAAUUUGAGGUUUGCUGAUGUUAAGUUUAUUUAUGUUUUAUAUUUGUUACUCUUUUGUUUUUCAUUUUUGUUGUUAUUUGC